GGCCCCAUGGUCUAGCGGUUAGGACGUUGGCCUCUCACGCCAUAAGCCCGGGUUCGAUUCCCGGUGGGGUCA
rnacentral:tRNA from 1 species